GAAAGGGCUGUUCAAGAGUGGAGGUUUUAUCCACACUGGUCAGGAUGAGGAAGUUGCUGCUGUCUUGGAAGAGGAUGCAGAGGACUCUGGCAAUUUUGUUAUCCCUGGAGGGGUCUGCAAUAAUUGGGUCGCUGUGGAUGUUCCUACAGUCGUCCACAAGUCAACGUAAUGAUCACUUUGUUUAAAAAUCCUUCUCCCAUGCCAAAAGGAGGAGUGAUGACAUUGUUGGCAAC
rnacentral:lncRNA from 1 species